rnacentral:rRNA from 1 species
UAGGGAAUCUUCGGCAAUGGGGGCAACCCUGACCGAGCAACGCCGCGUGAGUGAAGAAGGUUUUCGGACCGUAAAGCUCUGUUGUAAGAGAAGAACGUGUGUGAGAGUGGAAAAUUCACACAGUGACGGUAACUUACCAGAAAGGGACGGCUAACUACGCGCCAG